GAUGAACGCUGGCGGCGUGCCUAAUACAUGCAAGUCGAGCGAACGGACGAGAAGCUUGCUUUUCUGAUGUUAGCGGCGGACGGGUGAGUAACACGUGGAUAACCUACCUAUAAGACUGGGAUAACUUCGGGAAACCGGAGCUAAUACCGGAUAAUAUUUUGAACCGCAUGGUUCAAAAGUGAAAGACGGUCUUGCUGUCACUUAUAGAUGGAUCCGCGCUGCAUUAGCUAGUUGGUAAGGUAACGGCUUACCAAGGCAACGAUGCAUAGCCGACCUGAGAGGGUGAUCGGCCACACUGGAACUGAGACACGGUCCAGACUCCUACGGGAGGCAGCAGUAGGGAAUCUUCCGCAAUGGGCGAAAGCCUGACUGAGCAACGCCGCGUGAGUGAUGAAGGUCUUCGGAUCGUAAAACUCUGUUAUUAGGGAAGAACAUAUGUGUAAGUAACUGUGUACAUCUUGACGGUACCUAAUCAGAAAGCCACGGCUAACUACGUG
rnacentral:rRNA from 1 species